rnacentral:rRNA from 1 species
AGAGUUUGAUCAUGGCUCAGAUUGAACGCUGGCUGCAUGCUUAAUACAUGCAAGUCGAACGGUAACAUUAGGAGCUUGCUCCUAGAUGACGAGUGGCGGACGGGGGAGUAAUGCAUGGAAAUCUACCUUUCAGCGGGGGAGUCCAGAGAAAAAUUUGGUAAUACCGCAUGUCUUCUACGGAAGAAAGUAGGCCACUAUUUAUAAGCUUACACUGAAAGAUGAGUCCAUGUUCGAUUAGCUAGUUGGUAGGGUAAGAGCCUACCAAGGCGACGAUCGAUAGCUGGUCUGAGAGGACGAUCAGCCACACUGGGACUGAGACACGGCCCAGACUCCUACGGGAGGCAGCAGUAGGGAAUAUUGGACAAUGGGCGCAAGCCUGAUCCAGCAAUGCCGCGUGUGUGAAGAAGGCCUGCGGGUUGUAAAGCACUUUUAUGUGGGAAGAAAGAUUUAGAGUUAAUACCUCUUAAUAUUGACGUUACCAAUAGAAGAAGCACCGGCUAACUCUGUGCCAGCAGCCGCGGUAAUACAGAGGGUCCGAGCGUUAAUCGGAAUUACUGGGCGUAAAGAGCGCGUAGGUGGUUAAAUCAGUCGGUUGUGAAAGCCCAGGGCUCAACCUUGGAACUGCAUUCAAAACUGACUCACUAGAGUACGAGAGAGGUUAGUGGAAUUUCCUGUGUAGCGGUGAAAUGCGUAGAGAUGGGAAGGAACACCAGUGGCGAAGGCGACUACCUGGCCAGAUACUGACGCUGAGGUACGAAAGCGUGGGGAGCAAACAGGAUUAGAUACCCUGGUAGUCCACGCCGUAAACGAUGUCAACUAGGUGUUGGGGCGGUUAAUCUCCUCAUUGCCGGAGCUAACGCAUUAAGUUGACCGCCUGGGGAGUACGGUCGCAAGAUUAAAACUCAAAUGAAUUGCCGGGGGCACGCAAAAGAGGUGGAGCAUGUGGUUUAAUUCGAUACAACGCGCAGAACCUUACCAGGUCUUGACAUCCUGCGAACUUACUAGAGGUAGUUUGGUGCCUUCGGGAACACAGUGACAGGUGCUGCAUGGCUGUCGUCAGCUCGUGUUGUGAAAUGUUGGGUUAAGUCCCGUAACGAGCGCAACCCUUAUCGUUAGUUGCCAGCACGUAAUGGUGGGAACUCCAGGGAGACUGCCGGUGACAAACCGGAGGAAGGUGGGGAUGACGUCAAGUCAUCAUGGCCCUUAUGACCGGGGCUACACACGUGCUACAAUGGUCGGUACAGAGGGUUGCGAAGCAGCGAUGUGGAGCUAAUCCCAGAAAACCGAUCGUAGUCCGGAUCGGAGUCUGCAACUCGACUCCGUGAAGUCGGAAUCGCUAGUAAUCGCGAAUCAGAAUGUCGCGGUGAAUACGUUCCCGGGCCUUGUACACACCGCCCGUCACACCAUGAGAGUUGAUUGCAAAAGAAGUAGAUUGCCCGACCUUCGGGGGGGCGUUUACCACGGUGUGGUUAAUGACUGGGGUGAAGUCGUAACAAGGU